UUUUCUUGAGGAAAUAUUGUAUUGUGAUUGCUUUGAUUUAAAAAAAAGUGUAAAGAAAUUGUCGUGCCCACACGAACAUGCAUUGAAUUUCAUUACAAAACCACGUGAAAUCAGUUAAAUUAGUAAGUUAUUGAUUACAUUCAAACAUCGUGACACGUAUACAUAUAUUUUAUUUGGCUCAAAAAGGUCACAGAACAUGUUAAUGUCCUCAGGCCAAAGGGCUUGUUGUUAUAGCGCAUUUGCAAAGAAAAGCUUUUCAGUCAAGUUCAGGGUAGGGUGUCCCAUACCUGACCCAGUCUUAAGAGCAGAAGCAGGUGCAUCGGGGUUUUUAAGUGCGAAGGGUUGCACGGCCCUUUAUAUACAGAAAUCUCCUCCCGCCCACCUCCCCCCUUAUAUAUACAGAGUCAUGUACUGUUGCUUCUCUGUCAGACAUGAAAAAAUACAUUUAAGCCUUAAAUCUUUUCAUUAUCCACUCCUCUCUACAGUUUUACCAUUAGACCACGACUGCCACCAGGAGAACUCCUAUGGUCUGUUGUGGCUAUGACGUCAUUAAGUAAUUAUACGUCCGACCCCGAGUGUUGUGUGUAAAAAGUGUUUUUGAGUGGUGAACAGGCCCUGCCAUUAGUGCAUAGUGAUCGAAGGAACAAUCGUGCAUGUAAUGAGAAAAACUUUGAUGGUGUUUAGUAGUCCCACCCACUGUAGGCAAUGAUAGAGACAAAGGCAGCACUGUAUGAGUAUCAUAGUUACUGUUUCAGGGCAGAGGAUGAAGUGCUUGCUUUAAUUCUCUGGGCCACAACGGUCUGAGCCCAGUCCAAAUUCAGUCAGUGUGUUCAUUCGUCUGGACUCCUUAACCACCACUGCUGCUUCUUUAGUGACCACUGCAGGUCCACAGACAUGUCAUAGAAAUCGUGCGUGAAAACAAAAGUAAAAAUUAUUUCCUUCAGGUAAAGCUUUAACAAGCUCAUAUAUUCACAGAGGCAAAAAAAGCCUGCUCUGUCACUUCUUUCUGUCUUCAGCGUGAUGCUUGAUCGUUAACUCAGAGAGUGUUCGGGAACAAAAGCAGCACACACCCAAUCCAGGGUGUCACUGUGUGUUUGUGACAACCCAGAGUCAAAGUCAGCCCAUGUGAGCAGUGACCUGCGAGGCCCCGCCUCCCGACUGGCUCCCUGCCAGUCCC
ensembl:lncRNA